AGCAGCCGCGGUAAUUCCAGCUCCAAUAGCGUAUAUUAAAGUUGUUGCAGUUAAAAGCUCGUAGUUGAAUUUCGGGGUUCAGUACGUUGGUCGGGCUUUUUGGUCUGUACUGGCGUAAUGGAUUCCUACCUUCUGAAUAACCGGCAUGCCAUUAAUUUGGUGCGCCGGGGAAGCAGGACUGUUACCUUGAAAAAAUUAGAGUGCUUAAAGCAGGCUAUCGCCUGAAUACAUUAGCAUGGAAUAAUGAAAUAGGACGGCAUGGUUCUAUUUUGUUGGUUUCUAGGAUCACCGUAAUGAUUAAUAGGGAUAGCUGGGGCAUUAGUAUUCAAUUGUCAGAGGUGAAAUUCUUGGAUUUAUUGAAGACUAACUACUGCGAAAGCAUUUGCCAAGGAUGUUUUCA
rnacentral:rRNA from 1 species